UUCAGGUUCUAGAAGAUUUACAGUAUAGAAGAUUUUGACAGAGUUGCCAUAAGAACACACAAAUCAUUGGACAAAGAGGGGAAGGGACAAGAAGCCACCAUAAAACACCCUGAAUUUCUGGGGCUAGAAAUCAGCUUCAAGAAGAAAGUCAGUUUCAAAAAAGAACAGCUUCAAGAAGGAAAUAAGAAAGUUGGCUUCAAUAAGAAAGUCAGCUUCAGGAGUCAUCUUCAGCUCAAGUCAUCCUCUUGACCUUCCUCUUGGAGGGAACUUGGGGCAUCUGGUAUUCCUGCCGGCGACAGCAGGUGGCAUCCUGAGACAGCCUAGAAAUAUGACAGCCGCCAUCAAUCUUGGGAAAGACUUGGCAAAAGAGAACUAGCAACAAUUCCAGAGACGCAGAAAAGUGUACACAGCCUUUUUUCUUCUUCUCCUUUGUUCAACUCUAGAGGUCUGUAAGAAUCUUCAUUUUCAGGUCUGAACCCUCAGAAGGAGUCUUCUUUAGAGAGUACAGGGAUCUGGGGGGAAGGAGAGCCUUUUGGUCCUUAAUAACUGCUAAGGGAGACAGAGUAGAGAGAAUGCUGGAUCUUUGUUCAAAUCCCAUAUAUAAUAUUCUAUUUUGCCUUUGUCCUUGGACUAGUCACUGCCCUCAGUUUUUUGAUCUCUAAAACAAAGGGUUGAACCAGAUCACUUCUCAUGUCCCAUCAUGCUCUACUUCUAUCCCGUGACAAUACCCACAAGGCAUCAAACCAGCAGGGAGAGGUCAUCUGAAUCAUUAGACUCAGCAGGAACUGAACCCCUACUACAUCCCAGCCCUAUAAUCUGAUGGAAGCAGAAGGGAAAUUCUUAGAGGUUACCCACUGGAAGCCCAUAAUCUAGUGGUCCAAGACAAGGUUCAUACAUAGCAAAGAGCAAAACAGAAUUGUAC
rnacentral:lncRNA from 1 species